GGACAUGCCGUGAGCCCUUGCAGCUGGAAGAGCUGUUAUGUCGAUUUGGAACAACUGUUGUGCCCUGGAGAACCUGCUCAAAAUCCUUUGGCAACGCACAGGUUGAUGAGAAGCUGGAUGAGAAAAUAAUCUAUGAAGCGCAUUAGGCUUGUCAGAAUAGCAUGCUAUAAAUUGGUCCUCCACAGUCUAUGUACCAUGAGUGAAAAUGUUACAAAUGCUAAAAUGUUAGAUUUGAUUUUCAGGGAGCAGGGAUACACAGACCUGUGGGAUAAAACAAGCAGUGUGUCCUGCAUCAAUUGUCUAUUUUGUCACAUUAACGGCUCGGU